rnacentral:lncRNA from 1 species
UAAAGAAAAUUAUGAAGUAAUUAAUGUUUCUUCGGAUGAAGGUAUCAAAGAAAUUGAUAUUUCUUCUGUUUUAAGUAAGUAAUUUACGCAUAAUUAUACAAAUAGGUUACUUAUUUUUUUUUUUUUUUUUAAUAAUUUUAUUAUUUGACAAAUUGACAAAUGCGAGUAUAAGUCAUUUAUUAUUGCUAUUAGAAAAAUCAAAUGAGGUUAAAACAUAUCCACCGGCGGAACCAACAAAAUGAAAAAGAAACUUCUUGAGAAAUACGAUAUACGAUGAUUGGCCAUCAGAUUAUAAAGUAUCAACGCAUUAUGCUGACUUAUUAUCGAAUAAAUACGUGAAAGACCAUGCCGAUGAAUUUCCUACAACUUUUUCAAGCUUGCGCGAAUCGUCAAAUAAAUAAUGAAAAAUCUGAUAGAGAUGAGAAGACAAAUAAUAGCGCAACAUACAGUAUAGAAAAUGUUUAUCUCUUAAGUAGAUUCAUUAGAAAUGUUAAAUCUUCUCGAUGAAUAUCAAUUGAAGUUAUUCAAAUCAAAAACAUUGUGUAGUAUUAUGGGAACUGUAAAUAAAGAAAUGGAAUGAGAAUGAAAAAUGAGAAA